rnacentral:rRNA from 1 species
AUUGAACGCUGGCGGCAUGCCUAACACAUGCAAGUCGAACGGUAACGCGGGGGCAACCCUGGCGACGAGUGGCGGACGGGUGAGUAAUACGUAGGAAUCUGCCCAUUUGUGGGGGAUAACCCGGCGAAAGCCGGGCUAAUACCGCAUACGCUCUACGGAGGAAAGCGGGGGAUCGUAAGACCUCGCGCUAAUGGAUGAGCCUACGUCGGAUUAGCUAGUUGGUGGGUAACGGCCUACCAAGGCGACGAUCCGUAGCUGGUCUGAGAGGACGAUAAGCCACACUGGGACUGGGACACGGCCCAGACUCCUACGGGAGGCAGCAGUGGGGAAUAUUGGACAAUGGGGGCAACCCUGAUCCAGCAAUGCCGCGUGUGUGAAGAAGGCCUGCGGGUUGUAAAGCACUUUCAGAGGGGAAGAAAAAAUCGGAGCUAACACCUCCGAGCUUGACGUUACCCUUAGAAGAAGCACCGGCUAACUCCGUGCCAGCAGCCGCCGUAAAAC